rnacentral:rRNA from 1 species
UCCAGACUCCUACGGGAGGCAGCAGUGGGGAAUAUUGCACAAUGGGGGAAACCCUGAUGCAGCGACGCCGCGUGAGUGAAGAAGUAUUUCGGUAUGUAAAGCUCUAUCAGCAGGAAAGAAAAUGACGGUACCUGACUAAGAAGCCCCGGCUAACUACGUGCCGGCAGCCGCGGUAAUACGUAGGGGGCAAGCGUUAUCCGGAUUUACUGGGUGUAAAGGGAGCGUAGACGGUGAAGCAAGUCUGAAGUGAAAGGCGGGGGCUCAACCCCCGGACUGCUUUGGAAACUGUUUGACUGGAGUGCAGGAGAGGUAAGUGGAAUUCCUAGUGUAGCGGUGAAAUGCGUAGAUAUUAGGAGGAACACCAGUGGCGAAGGCGGCUUACUGGACAGUAACUGACGUUGAGGCUCGAAAGCGUGGGGAGCAAACAGGAUUAGAUACCCCAGUACUA